rnacentral:rRNA from 1 species
UGAGGGAUAUUGGUCAAUGGGGGAAACCCUGAACCAGCAACGCCGCGUGAGGGAAGACGGUUUCGGAUUGUAAACCUCUGUCCUCUGUGAAGAUAAUGACGGUAGCAGAGGAGGAAGCUCCGGCUAACUACGUGCC